GCAGUGAUCACCUAGUUUGGUAUGGUGCUUGCCUUAUGAGCAAGGAUCUUCGCGGAUUCGUGGGUUCAAGUCCAGCUCACUGCG
rnacentral:tRNA from 1 species